UGAGUAACACGUGAGCAAUCUGCCCCUGACUCUGGGAUAAGCGCUGGAAACGGCGUCUAAUACCGGAUACGAGCUGCGACCGCAUGGUCAGUAGCUGGAAAGAAUUUCGGUCAGGGAUGAGCUCGCGGCCUAUCAGCUUGUUGGUGAGGUAAUGGCUCACCAAGGCGUCGACGGGUAGCCGGCCUGAGAGGGUGACCGGCCACACUGGGACUGAGACACGGCCCAGACUCCUACGGGAGGCAGCAGUGGGGAAUAUUGCACAAUGGGCGAAAGCCUGAUGCAGCAACGCCGCGUGAGGGAUGACGGCCUUCGGGUUGUAAACCUCUUUUAGCAGGGAAGAAGCGAAAGUGACGGUACCUGCAGAAAAAGCGCCGGCUAACUACGUGCCAGCAGCCGCGGUAAUACGUAGGGCGCAAGCGUUAUCCGGAAUUAUUGGGCGUAAAGAGCUCGUAGGCGGUCUGUCGCGUCUGCUGUGAAAACCCGAGGCUCAACCUCGGGCCUGCAGUGGGUACGGGCAGACUAGAGUGCGGUAGGGGAGAUUGGAAUUCCUGGUGUAGCGGUGGAAUGCGCAGAUAUCAGGAGGAACACCGAUGGCGAAGGCAGAUCUCUGGGCCGUAACUGACGCUGAGGAGCGAAAGGGUGGGGAGCAAACAGGCUUAGAUACCCUGGUAGUCCACCCCGUAAACGUUGGGAACUAGUUGUGGGGUCCAUUCCACGGAUUCCGUGACGCAGCUAACGCAUUAAGUUCCCCGCCUGGGGAGUACGGCCGCAAGGCUAAAACUCAAAGGAAUUGACGGGGACCCGCACAAGCGGCGGAGCAUGCGGAUUAAUUCGAUGCAACGCGAAGAACCUUACCAAGGCUUGACAUAUAGAGGAAACGUCUGGAAACAGUCGCCCCGCAAGGUCUCUAUACAGGUGGUGCAUGGUUGUCGUCAGCUCGUGUCGUGAGAUGUUGGGUUAAGUCCCGCAACGAGCGCAACCCUCGUUCUAUGUUGCCAGCACGUAAUGGUGGGAACUCAUGGGAUACUGCCGGGGUCAACUCGGAGGAAGGUGGGGAUGACGUCAAAUCAUCAUGCCCCUUAUGUCUUGGGCUUCACGCAUGCUACAAUGGCCGGUACAAAGGGCUGCAAUACCGUGAGGUGGAGCGAAUCCCAAAAAGCCGGUCCCAGUUCGGAUUGAGGUCUGCAACUCGACCUCAUGAAGUCGGAGUCGCUAGUAAUCGCAGAUCAGCAA
rnacentral:rRNA from 1 species